UAUCAAAUUGCCAAGGACGGCCUAAUAAGAGAUGGCAAGCAUCCAUUGGUGCUACAUCACACCAUUGUGAGUCUUGGUAGUUUUUUCCAAUAGAGAAUGAUACCAAACAACGUUGGUUGACUACUACAUCACUACCUUUUUUGAACCACUGCAGCUUAUAGGAUAUUGGCUUCCUUUCUGUUUGCAAGUUCAACUUGUCUACCAUCUCUUGUGCCACAAUGUUUUCACAACUCCCACCAUCAAUGAUAACUUGACACACCUUACCAUUGGAAGUGCACUUUGUAUGAAAUAUAUUAUGUCUUCUCCAAUCUGGGUGCUCUUCUAUUUUUGAUGCAUUCAUGGUUCUUCUUAUCACAAGUGACUCACCUUGAUCACUCCAGAAAAUAAGCGGAAUUGCGGAAACAAGAGAAAUUGGUGCAAAAAUUGGAGCAAAUUGGAGUUUCCGACAAAAGGACGAAAUAGUCAAUGCGGGUCAACCGUGAUCAAUGCCAUCAAGGGAGCGGAAUUCAAUUGCCUCCGAGAGUAUGUGUGGAAUUACAUGGCGACGAGAGAAGAAAGAAGACGGAGAAGAUGAAGAAAGAAGAAAAAAAAAAGAAAGGGAAAAAGUGAAAAUAAUAAUAAUUAUUAAUAUUAUUUAAAAAAAAAAAGUUUGCUGACGUCAUGAUGACGUCAGCAUGGCUGAUCCCUUCUUCUUCUUCCCACGUGCAGCCAUUUCCUUUCCUUUCUUUUAUUUUCCUUUUCAUUUUCUUCCUUCCUCUCAGCCGCUGCCACGUGUCCCUAUCUCUCAUUUUCUUUCUUCUUGUACACGAACAGCCACACACACACACGUUAAUUAACCUAGGCCAUAUAUAUAUACCCUUUUCUCUUUGCAAUCACGGUAGAGACGAACAGCGCCGCAGCACCAAAAAAGAAAACAGAGGCAGCCCUUUGGGCUGCUCUCUCUCCCCCAUCCUUCUCCACCAUUUUUUUCAUCUUCUCUUUCUAUUUUAUUUUGGUAUUUGAGAAUUACUCACUCAAACCUUCUAAGCAUCAAGGGACUUCAUCAUCAUCAAGAUUUGAAGAUUGGGUAAAAGUGGGGAGCUAUAAAUCAAGGCUUGUCAUAAUUGCUUCAUAGCAAUUGUGACUUGUUCUUGUUACUUCUCACUUCUUUUCACCUUUUCCUCUUUAUUGAUAUUUGUUGAUGUUAAUUUAAUUAUGGGUAGUGAGUAAUUUCUUUGUUGGGGGUUAGGGUUGUGUGCCCUAAUCCAAAUUUGAUGUAAUGGAUGCUUAAUUUAAUUUAUAUAUGGAAUUUGUUAAUUA